rnacentral:rRNA from 1 species
GAUGAACGCUAGCGGCAGGCUUAAUACAUGCAAGUCGAGGGGCAGCGCAGUGUAGCAAUACAUGGGCGGCGACCGGCAAACGGGUGCGGAACACGUACACAACCUUCCUUUAAGCGGGGGAUAGCCCAGAGAAAUUUGGAUUAGUACCCCAUAGUAUAUUGGUCAGGCAUCUGAUUGGUAUUAAAGAUUUAUCACUUAAAGAUGGGUGUGCGGGGGAUUAGGUAGUUGGCGGGGUAACGGCCCACCAAGCCUUCGAUCAGUAACUGGUGUGAGGGGACGACCAGUCACACGGGCACUGAGACGAGGGCCCGACUCCUACGGGAGGCAGCAGUAAGGAAUAUUGGUCAAUGGACGAAAGUCUGAACCAGCCAUGCCGCGUGGAGGAUGAAGGUCCUCUGGAUUGUAAACUUCUUUUAUCUGGGACGAAAAAAGGCUUUUCUAAGUCGUCUGACGGUACCAGAUGAAUAAGCACCGGCUAACUCCGUGCCAGCAGCCGCCGUAAAAC